rnacentral:rRNA from 1 species
GGAUCAUUACUGAGUUACCGCUCAUCAACCCUUUGUGAACAUACCUUAACUGUUGCUUCGGCGGGCUAGGCGUCCCCUAAAAAGGACGUCUCCCGGCCCUCUCCCGUCCGCGGGUGGGGCGCCCGCCGGAGGAUAACCAAACUCUGAUUUAACGACGUUUCUUCUGAGUGACACAAGCAAAUAAUCAAAACUUUUAACAACGGAUCUCUUGGUUCUGGCAUCGAUGAAGAACGCAGCGAAAUGCGAUAAGUAAUGUGAAUUGCAGAAUUCAGUGAAUCAUCGAAUCUUUGAACGCACAUUGCGCCCGCCAGCAUUCUGGCGGGCAUGCCUGUUCGAGCGUCAUUUCAACCCUCAAGCUCUGCUUGGUGUUGGGGCUCUACGGUUGACGUAGGCCCUUAAAGGUAGUGGCGGACCCUCUCGGAGCCUCCUUUGCGUAGUAACAUUUCGUCUCGCAUUGGGAUUCGGAGGGACUCUAGCCGUAAAACCCCCAAUUUUACUAAGGUUGACCUCGGAUCAGGUAGGAAUACCCGCUGAACUUAAGCA